rnacentral:rRNA from 1 species
GAUGAACGCCGGCGGCGUGCCUAAUACAUGCAAGUCGAGCGAAUGGAUUAAGAGCUUGCUCUUAUGAAGUUAGCGGCGGACGGGUGAGUAACACGUGGGUAACCUGCCCAUAAGACUGGGAUAACUCCGGGAAACCGGGGCUAAUACCGGAUAACAUUUUGAACCGCAUGGUUCGAAAUUGAAAGGCGGCUUCGGCUGUCACUUAUGGAUGGACCCGCGUCGCAUUAGCUAGUUGGUGAGGUAACGGCUCACCAAGGCAACGAUGCGUAGCCGACCUGAGAGGGUGAUCGGCCACACGGGGACGGAGACACGGCCCAGACGCCUACGGGUGGCAGCAGUAGGGAAUCUUCCGCAAUGGACGAAAGUCUGACGGAGCAACGCCGCGUGAGUGAUGAAGGCUUUCGGGUCGUAAAACUCUGUUGCUAGGGAAGAACAAGUGCUAGUUGAAUAAGCUGGCACCUUGACGGUACCUAACCAGAAAGCCACGGCUAACUACGUGCCAGCCGCCGCCGUAA